CAUCUUUGAGGUAUUCGAGGCAUGGCCCUGUCUCCAGGAAGAACAGUGCCUCUUGCCACAAGAGGAGUCUAGGAACAUGCUAUCCUCUGAUUCAGUGAAAGGGGCAGUCUCAACACCAAUGACUUCUGCAGUGCAAAAAAAUGCCUCCCCAGUUGUUUCUGGUGCUGAAUCAGCCCCGGAGUUGUGUCUACUUCCUGGGCUGCAAUGUGGUCACUCCAAACAACAACAAUAAUGAUAACAACACUAAUGAUGGCUUCUGAUGUCUCAGAGAAUAUGAAUUAGGCAUUAAAUGUGCCUGUGCCACUUGGCAAGUAAAGCACGCAUUAGUGAUUACCAAUCAUAGUAUUUCAACUUACCCCCGUCAUGUGUGUGUGCCUGUAAAGUAAUACAAUAUUAUUAUUAAGCAGACAUGUAAGUUUUCUUGCUUAAUUUUUAGAUUUUUACUUAUAUCAUUUUAAUGGUAUAAUAAAAUAUUAAAAAUAAAGGAGGUUUUGUUACUUAUAUACAUUAACUACAUUAUAUUCUUUAUAUGUGGCCCAAGACAAUCCCUCUUCACUCAGUGUGACCCAGACAAGUACAAAGUUUGGGCAGCCCUGGGCUAAGCACUAAGUACUCUCAGAUGGUACUGGAGGCCUUGCAGGGAGCAGGGAGCGAUGUGGGAGUGCAUGGGGCUGUGUUAUGGGGCUCAGAAAGGAAAAGAUGAGUAAUUGGACACUCUGGAUCAGCAAGAGGGUGCUGGGGAUGUUGGGCAGGGGGCUGGAAGGUAGCAGACAGGGCACCCCAAGGAAGAGAGAAAGAGGACUUCGGGCGGGUUGUCCACAUCCCUUCCUUACCAAGGCCUAACUUCCCGGGAACUCCCAGGAAGACACAGCCUCACCUAACUACCAGUAAAUAGGUCACGGAUUCUCUUUGGGUUGAGCCUCUUUGGAGGAUACCCUCAGAAAGACCCACUCAACUACACACUGGUGAAGAGGAAUGAGGCUGAAAGGCAGUGUCUGAAGGUUCUUCCCCGGGAAGACUAUCCUCCCACUAACAUGAUGGUCCCCAAAAGAGUAAUGUGUAGGACAAAGCCUUAAAAAUGUCAACCCACUACACAAAUGGAAAGCUAUGUUAUCAGCACUAUCAUUUUAUCCUUGGGAUCCUAGCUUGAAAUUUGGUCAGGACAAAUGGCAGUACCAUCCUUCACAACCCUUCCCGAUAGCUCCCCACUUACUGAAAAGCACAUUUAAAAAAAUAUCGUGCAGGAUAAGGUUUGAAGCUCCUGUCUUAGGGUUGUGUUUGCAACUCAAGUCAAUGCAUUUAUUAUUAUGAUAUCUAAUAUUGUCAUAAAGUGUUCUCACUCUGUCUCUCUCUCUUUUUCUAAACAGAAAAGAUUAUAAAGAUACAAUAUUUCAGCCAGGCAUGGUAGUGCACUGCUAGUUCCAGCUGUUUAGGAGGCUGAAGCUGGAAGAUUGCGUCCAGGCCUAUGAGCUCAAACUCAGCCUAGGCCUAGAUAGACCUCGUCUCAAAAAAAGGAAAAAGGGGCCAGGGAUUUAGCUCAGUGGUGCCACUGCCUGCCCUGCAAGUGCAAGGACCUGAGUUCAAUCCUUGGUACAAAAAAGAAAAAAAAAAAAAAGAAAAAAGAAGACAUGGUAUUUCAGAAGACUUCAUGCAUGUUCUACCAUUUAUGUAAAAUUUUAAACCAUGCAACCUAGACCCAAUAUUACUACCCGAGUAUAUGUUAAUGGUAUAGAAUGGGUAUGCAAGUGAUGAAUCCCCAAUUCUGGAAGAUGAUUAGAGCAGGUUCGUAUCUGGAAACCAUCCCUGGCUUGGAGCAGCUGCUCCAGCUGUUAAGCAAGGAAAGAUGGGCACUCUCUGGGGAGGGUGAGGAGAUAAAUGAUUUAGGAGGUUUGUAAUUUUACCACAUUUUUUCUAAGGCUGAGUGUUACAUGGAGAUCUGUAAUAUUACAUACUUUUGCAUGUUCGGAAUAUUUCAUAAUUAAUAAAAAUCUCAGCCCAAGUCCCGAUGUCUGCUUUCAAGGUGCUCAUAGGUUGGAACCAGGAUGUCAGACUACUGGCUGACAUUUAUUCUCCCAGCACCAAUACUCUUUGGCUGAAUGCCUUGAGGGAGUUACUCACCUGCUCUGAGACGGUGUCUUCAAUAUAAAGUAGUGAUGAAAGAGGUCUGUCUCCCAGAGCUCUCAAGAUUAAAGGAGCUAAGCAACACAUGGCAGCUAGUACUAUACCCAGAUUAUAGAAAGGAAUUACAGCUAUGCAUGCAGUAUCUCAGCUCUGUCCAGCAACCCUGUGAAGAUGAGGAAGCCAACUCAGAUAGGUCAGAGCCAGAACAUGAUGUUGCUGGGAUUUGAACCUAAACACUAUCCAUUCUUUUGACCAGGCUGAGUGUUAUAGGAGUUGUAAAAUAGAAUUUAACUGCUGCCUCUCCAAGUGUCUUUGUUCCAUGGUCAUGGCUGCCUUGAUAACCCGAAUCCUCUCAGUGUUUACCUUUCAUCGUCAUUUUGACUUUAGGGAAGAGUCAGAAGUCACACCGUGCCAGAUUCUGUGUCCAGUGAACGAGGACACAUCACAAUGUUUUCACCAGCCUGCUUUUUCACUGGAUGGCAUGCAGCAGCAUUCACCAUAUUUUUGAUCACACCUCUUAAAGACAUUCAUGAAAGGGAACUUCCAGAACUGCUUCAGAAAGUGGCAAGAACAUUAGGAUAAGUGUACUUGAAGUGAGGGGGAGUAUUCUGAGGGGGAUUAAUAGCAAUGUGUCUUUUACUGUAAUAUAAUUUAAAAAAAAUUAAAUAUUCGCUGUAUGUUUUUAUCAACCUCACAUUUUCCUUUCUUUUUCUUUCUCUGUGUCAUUCCAGACAUCUAACACCCUGAGGACUUUACAGUGUUGGCCUCAACACUGUAGUGUGCUGUGUCCAUGCUCCCUGAACUAGGACAGGGUUGUCCCCGCUCUGUGCUGUGGCCAACACAUAGACCUGAUGACUUUCUAUUGGUAGAAGAGACCUCUGAUCAUCCUCUUUCCAGCUGACAAAGGUUACCUGCACUCCCAGAAUGCCCUUGGGCAAUCGGAGGUGCAGAGCCCCAUGUGUGGGCUGAGCUUGGCUGCCAUCUUGCCUGGUAUUGACAAAGAGGAAUUAAGUCAUCCAUAAAACUCUGUGGUGGAGGCCAAGGUUGUGGUUUGAAGAAGGCUGGUUCAACACAAGGCUGCUUUACCUUCAUCAAGCCCACAUCUCUCACUGUUUCUUCUCAAGACUCAGUGCAAAGGAAGACUUGAGUUUGAAUCUGUCUCUUCCACUUGCUAGCUGUGUGACUAUUCCUUCCUGAGUUGUUGCUUCCUCAUCUUAACAUGGUGGAAGCAAUCUUGCCUUACUGAGGGUUGAUGAGUAGCAUAAAUGAUAUGAUUAAUCAGGGGCAUUUUGUAUGACCUGUUAUUGUGAGUUCAGGUAAUAUUUUAUAGACAGGAAGCUUGACACUGGAGGAGAAUCCUGAGGGCUGGACUCAUGCCAUCCCUUGCAAACUGCCACUCCUGAUCACCACUUCUCUUGUUGGCUCAGAGCCACUUCUCAGAGCAAACGUUGUCCUGAACCCUGCACAUGGCAACCUCUCCUCCUCUUCCCAGUGUCACCUCUGAGCAGGAGUGGCGUUGGGUAAGGAUAGGGUGGGAGGAGGAGUGACAAUCACGAAUGGAUGUUUUAAGAAAAUUUGCACUUAGUAAUAACUGAGGCAAUAGUCAAUGACUAGUGAUAUCUGAAGGGCAGCAGCCUGCUUCCCAGGAAAGCUGACCUGCCAUGCUGCUCCUGGGAGCCUCUCUAUCCACUUACUUCUUUCUGAGCCUUUUCUGCAUGUUCAUUUGACCCAGACUUCUUCUGUAUACAAAGCUCAAGGGUCAGGGCACCUAUAGUGGAGUUUACAAAAGGACAGCCUUGGGGAUUUUUUUAAGGGCUUGUGAUUUUGAGGUCUCCUCAUUGAUGCUAAUCAAUGAGGCUGGUAGAACUGGGUAUGCGUUAAAUGACUGAUGUCUGAAAAUACAGAGACACGUGCACAGAAUAUACAUUCCUUCUAGAAAGAAUUAGUGUGCCAAACACAGAAGCAGGGCUGGGGCUUGGUUUCUGUCCUUAUAGAACUUAUAGUUUUGUAUGGGACAUAGGUAAGUAAAUUCAGUAGGGUAAAGGCCUAAACUGGGUAAGUGGGGCUUGAGGAAUCCUUGUCCUCAGAGUGGUGGGAAGACUGCUGAUUCUGGUGCCAGGAAACCUGGGUUUUCAGUCCAGGCUCUGCCCUUCCUCUCCUGGCCUCUGUUUCCCCAUCUGCAAAUGGAAGGGAACAUGUUGCUGUACUCAGUAUGCUAAGAGUUGUUUCAGCUCUAACUUUUUUUUUUUUUUUGUCACACAGAGGCUCUAAGAUUGUGAGGAACAACUGGCAUUUUGGUUUAAAGUAUAAAUUGGGUAAUUUCCUGUUCAAAGAAAAGAAAGGCGCCAAAGAGGAGAAUCUUGUUUCUGUUUCUUCUUCAUCUUUCUUUGGGAAGGUAGAAGAAGCACAAUGGAAAGAGCAGAUCUGGACACCCAGGGAUCGAACUCAGGUCCUUGCAUUUGCACAGCAGGCAGCGGAACCACUGAGCUAAAUCCCCGGCCCAAGAAAUGUCUUUCUGACAACGAACUGCCUGAAAAGUGCCUUCUUCUGAUGGACAGUGCCUCAGCAUGGCCUCCAGCCUUGGUGGAUGACAUGGAUGCUGAGUGUGACUUCACAAAGGUCAAAUUCCUCCUCCCCAAUAUGACACCUCUUCUCCAACCUUUAGACCAGCAAGUGAUCUACAACUUCAAGCAGCUGUACACAAAGGUGCUCUUCACCAGGUGUUUUAUUGUCACUGAAGAGACGUCCUUGACUCUGAAAGAGUUCUGGAAGAAACACUUCAAUGUCCUUCACUGCAUCAACCUCAUUGACAAAGCCUGGGAAGAGGUCAUGUAUUGGACCUUAAACAGACUGGAGGAAGCUGUGGCCAGAAUGUGUCACUGAAUGUGACUUUGAAGGGUCUCAUGACAGGUAGUGGAGAAGAUUGUGUCCAUGGACAAGAGUAUGGGUCUGGACAUCGAUGGUACAGACAUGGAGGAGCUUGUUGGGGAUCAUAAGGAGGAGCUGAUGACAGAAGAACUUGCUGAACUCCAGAGUGACAGCAGAAGCUGAGAUGAAGAAAAGAGGAAACCCCUCAAGGAGGUCCCCUGAUGUCCUUAUGGAGGGGUCCCUCCCUCCACAACCAACCACCUCCUUCCCACUCACCUUCCUGGCUUCCACACCACAAGUUGCCUCAAGCAAGACGAUAAAUUCAGAGAAAGGUGUGACUUGCCCAGGAUCCUGUUGCCCACAACCUGUAGGUAUGGAACCAGAAGUCAAACAAGCUCAUGUUCUUGUUUUAGACCCCAAGCUUGUGUGCUCAAUUGUGUAGUUUUAUUACUUUCCCUCUGUACCUUCAUUAAGUAUUUUCAGUGCCUAAUUGUCCAUGCUCUGUGCAGGGUGCUAUAAAGGAGGAUUAUACAGGUACAGUGUGCACUAUGACUCUUGUUGACA